rnacentral:rRNA from 1 species
UGGGGAAUUGUUCGCAAUGGGCGCAAGCCUGACGACGCAACGCCGCGUGGAGGAUGAAGAUCUUCGGGUCGUAAACUCCUGUCGAAUGGGACGAAUAGAUUGCGGGUUAACAGCCCGCGGUCCUGACGGUACCGUUAAAGGAAACCCCGGCUAACUCCGUGCCAGCAGCCGCGGUAAUACGGGGGGGGUAAGCGUUGUUCGGAAUUACUGGGCGUAAAGGGCUCGUAGGCGGCCAACUAAGUCAUACGUGAAAUCCCUCAGCUUAACUGGGGAACUGCGUGUGAUACUGGAUGGCUUGGAUCCGGGAGAGGGAUGCGGAAUUCCAGGUGUAGCGGUGAAAUGCGUAGAUAUCUGGAGGAACACCGGUGGCGAAGGCGGCAUCCUGGACCGGUAUUGACGCUGAGGAGCGAAAGCCAGGGGAGCAAACGGGAUUAGAUACCCCGGUAGUCCUGGCCCUAAACGAUGAAUGCUUGGUGUAGCGGGUAUCGAUCCCUGCUGUGCCGAAGCUAACGCAUUAAGCAUUCCGCCUGGGGAGUACGGUCGCAAGGCUGA